UAAAACUCAAAGGAAUUGACGGGGGCCCGCACAAGCGGCGGAGCAUGUGGAUUAAUUCGAUGCAACGCGAAGAACCUUACCUGGGCUUGACAUGUACCGGAUUGGGCUAGAGAUAGUCUUUCCCUUGUGGUCGGUAUACAGGUGGUGCAUGGUUGUCGUCAGCUCGUGUCGUGAGAUGUUGGGUUAAGUCCCGCAACGAGCGCAACCCUUGUCUUAUGUUGCCAGCACGUUAUGGUGGGAACUCAUGAGAGACUGCCGGGGUUAACUCGGAGGAAGGUGGGGAUGACGUCAAAUCAUCAUGCCCCUUAUGUCCAGGGCUUCACACAUGCUACAAUGGUCGAUACAAUGGGCAGCGACAUCGUGAGGUGAAGCGAAUCCCUGAAAGUCGGCCUUAGUUCGGAUUGGGGUCUGCAACUCGACCCCAUGAAGUCGGAGUCGCUAGUAAUCGCAGAUCAGCAACG
rnacentral:rRNA from 1 species